UACAGAGGGGGCGAGCGUUAUUCGGAAUUAUUGGGCGUAAAGGGCGCGUAGGCGCCGUGUAAGUCGCGUGUGAAAGCCCCCGGCUCAACUGGGGAGGGUCACGCGAUACUGAUCGACUCGAAGGCAGGAGAGGGUAGUGGAAUUCCCGGUGUAGUGGUGAAAUUCGUAGAUAUUGGGAAGAACACCGGUGGCGAAGGCGGCUCUCUGGACCGACACUGACGCUGAGGCGCGAAGCGUGGG
rnacentral:rRNA from 1 species